GGAUCCGCAUGGAUAUGUUGUUAAAGGUUUACCGCCUUGGGAUAGGCUUGCGUCUGAUUAGUUAGUUGGUGUGGUAACGGCACACCAAGGCUACGAUCAGUAACUGGUCUGAGAGGAUGAUCAGUCACACUGGAACUGAGACACGGUCCAGACUCCUACGGGAGGUAGCAGUGAGGAAUAUUGGGCAAUGCUCGAAAGAGUGACCCAGCAACGCCGCGUGGAGGAUGAAGGUAUUCUAUAUCGUAAACUCCUGUGAGAGCAGACGAAAGACAGAUUAUUAAUCUGGAUGACUGUAUGCUCAGAGGAAGCCCCGGCUAACUACGUG
rnacentral:rRNA from 1 species